rnacentral:misc_RNA from 1 species
AACAACGUGUGAAAUGCCAAUCGUCGAUCCUCGUGCAACCGGCCAUAUUGCGUUGAAUGAGUGCUGUACAUUUAGAGGCUGAAGUAGCCAAAACAAAUCUUCCAACAUCUUAAAGUUGUGAAGACUUUAUUCGCGUUUAACCGCCAUGGAGAAUUCCUAUGGAAUUGGUGUCGCCAAUAGGUAUGCUCUCCUAGACGAUGAAUUGGAAUCGCCGGAAACGCUACUCCAGAACGAACCCGAAAAAGAACUGAAGAAGAAAACGAAAAUUACGGAGAAAGAAAACAAAGGAAAAUCAGAACUACCUAAGGCAAAACCGACGGCAAAUGGCCAGAAAAAGGUCAUAAAGGACUUGAUUCCCUCAAAAAAUCAAGAAAAUAAACGCGAUGACAAUAAACCAGCUCCCAGACCUAGCGCCGAUGGAAAAGCCGAUCGGCCUUUUAAAUCUAAUAUUAACGAAAGCCGCGAGGACAGGAAUAAUCGCCGAAAUCGUGAGGACCGACCUUACAAUGGACCUUCAGAAAACCGUGAUCGUGAAAACAGGCCUAAAUUUUCCAAGCCCGGAUUUACAAAGUCAACAUCAGAUAAUGUUGAGUAUGAAAAUCGUAAUCGCGACCGUGCUGAAAGGGGUGAACGAGGCGGCGAGCGUCCUGAACGAAGCGAACGUGGAGAACGACGAGAAGGCAGACCGAUAGGAAAUCGACCAGGAGGACCACGCGGACCCAGGAGAACUUUUGAUGACAGACGAGGAAAGCGCGAGUUUGAUAGACAAUCUGGAUCUGACAAAACCCAUGGUUACAGAGGAGUUAAACCGGUAGAAAAACGGGACGGUGCUGGCGCUCAUAACUGGGGAUCAACUAAAGACCUUAUUGCAGCUGAAGCCGAGAGACCUGCUAACUCUGAUGCCGAACAAACCUGGGGAGAAUCUGACAAGCCUGAACAACAAAACGAUGCCGAGAAGAAGGAAGAACUUGACGCCGAUCAAACGCCAGUUGAAGAGGAGCCUAAAGAACUGACCCUUGACGAAUGGAAAGCUCAACGCGCUGGACGUAUUAAGCCGCAAUAUAAUAUCCGCAAAGCCGGUGAAGGAGAGGACCCAUCUCAAUGGAAAAAAAUGUUUGAACUGAAGAAAAAGGAAAAGGAAGAGGAAUCUGAUGACGAAGAAUACGAUGUGUCCGAGUACCCACAAAGAGUUGGACGGCAGAAACAUGUCUUGGAAAUCGAUAUUCAGUUUAACGAUAGUCGGCGCCCUGGAGGCGGUAGAGGACGAGGAACUGGCAGAGGUGGACGUGGUGGAACUCGUGGAGUUGGUCCGCGUGGACCUCCGCGCGAUAGAGAUGCCGUUCAACGUGAAGGACCUCGAGAGGAAAGAAAAUUCCGCGAAGAACAGGUUGACGAAAAGGCUCCGAGAGUUCCCAAGGUCAAUGAUGAGCGCGAUUUCCCCUCACUAGGCUAAUCGCCCUUCGGCUACGGCGAGUGGGGAUUUUCGCUUCCUUAUCUUCAUAAGUAAUGCGAAAAUCACCACUUACAGCGUAUAUAUUCAAAGACUUCAAUAAAUUGAAAUUGAAAUUCAACCGAAAUUGCAAAAAAAUGUGGUUUCGAUCGUUCAAUUGUUGAACUACCAAGUAAUUGUUUCUUAACUUCUUUGCAAGUAAAUAGUAAAUUUUUCUGGUAUAUUUCAGAUUUCUGAAGUGGAUAGUUGCAAAGUUGAAAUUGAAAGUACUAAUUUUGGUACUAAGUUUGGUGUUUUCAAUUUCUCCAAUGUUCGCGUUCAUCGAUCCUAAUAAUAAUUUUAUUCAUGAUUUUUGUUUUAUUUAUAAAUAUUUUUGUGAGGAUCGAUGAAUGGAGUAACAAAUAAUCUGUAGUUUUAGAUUGGUACUACGGAUUAAUUUGUAUUUGUGUCCUGGGUGGUUAUUAGCCACUUAAAUUAAGUGGCGCUUGUACAAACUUACAAUUGAAAGUCGAGUAAGACUACACCGGCACUAUAAACUUGCUCGACUUGCUUGCACUUGUAGGCCUGUACAAAGCACGUCCUGGUCGGUGAUAAUGUUUGUCAUCUACCGGAAGUAAGUUUUGCCAUACGGCUUCAAUAAGAACUCUUUAUGCAACAUUUCAUUUAAGCCACUUGAUUUUCAAGGAUUUUCAUCUAGGUCACACAUUUCACAUUGUUUUUUCAUUUAUCUCGCUAUGCAGUUUGUAUAAUUUUUAAUAAAUCUAUGAAAACGAUAUUUUGUCUGGUUUUAAUGUAAUCAUCUUUCUAUUUUGUCAACACUAAUGUACUUAACAAUUAAGAGUUUCGAUGAACCGGUAUUUAUACUGAAGUGACAUUAAAAGUAAUUUUACUGAGUUUAGAUAAUUUUUUCCUAAUUUGUAAUAUUGAGGUAUGUACGAAUUCGCAAAUACAUCACAAACAUCGUACUUUCACAUGGCUGUGAUAUGGAGAGUAAUAAUCAAUAUUUCGCAGAUCGUUUUAAAAAUGUACAAUAUGUUAUGGUGAAAUAAAGUGAUGGAAAUGAAUUGCUUGCUGAACUUACUCAAGUAUUAGUGAACGCACAGAUGCCAAUCGUUUUAA